CACCGCCGCCGUGCCCCCUGCUUCCACCCUCCGCCGCCAGCCCAGCUUUCUUCCGCUCAAGGACCAAGAACGACGUGAGAUGUCGUCCUGGCCCAUCGUUGUGGCCCUGCGCCCUAACCACCGCUGUCGGCCAACACGGUGGCCCUGCUUCUCGCAAUGUCGCAUCGUGCUCUCACCGCGCCAUGUGUGGCCUCCUCCCGGCGAAGCGCCCUCGCCAACAACACACGUCACGCCCCAGUCCAGCUCUCCGGUGCCAGCCCAUCCACCUUCGCGACCCCAGGCCGUUUAGCACUGCCAGCAGAGCCUGUUCAACACCCCAGCUCUCACGCCCCCCCAUCUGUGGUGUCACCUUUUCUCUUCUCGCCACCUGCUGCCGGUCGAGCUCCUAGAGUCACUACAUCGACGCACGCAUCUGCUGCAGUGGGGGCUCAGUUGCUGCUCCAAAAUCGAACAAUUUGGAGGAAGAAUGCAUGAGAAACAAGUCUCCCAACGAUGACAAGGACCCGACCCAACCAGCUUCGCCAUGGCAUGGCGCCUACUGGCGAAGGACCACCAACUCCCUGACGACGUGCCCAAACCCGCCGACGAGGCCCGCCGCCCCAACCCUCCUCCUUCCUCCUCGCAUCGGGAUGAGCAAGAUCCAGCCGGUGCCUGAAGCCCAUCCCACCAUUGUACCCCCCUUCCCCUCGCUGCACUGACCGGUGUGCCAUAGCGCCGCUGCCAAGUGCGCAUAUGGAAGGUCGAGAAGUUCUAUUGCUCGUAUAUGCCAAGUUCAGAGAAGUUGCCGCCAAUGGCACCGGAGCAGCGGUCAAAAUUAAACUUGGUUUCAGUUUGUGCAUGAGUUUUUUUUACAUCAAUUUGUGCAUAUGUGUUAAUUGGUGGCUAGUGUGUGUGUGCAGGGUACCAUAAGUAUUAGACGGCAAGUGUAUUGAGGUGAGCAGCAAGACGAGGCGUGAAGCAUGCCCUCAUGUGUAUGCAGCGAGCUGCUACAACACUAGUGCGGCUACUGUCACAGAUGAACUUGGCUGGUUGUAGCUGCUUGUACUAAACAUGUGUGCCUCUGUUAUCUUUGGUAGUCAAUGAUGCAGACUAAACAUGUGUGCAUGUGUUAUCUUUGGUAGUCAAUGGUUGUAGCUGCUUGUACUAAACCAAGCAGGCCAAGGAUGAAGUAUACGAUGCAGGCAAUGAGGACAACUAAAACAUGCAAUCCGUACACAUAGCAGCAGCUGCAAGUUAUUCCGUCUAUGAUGACAUGAUUGCUACUA